AUGAUACCCCCUCCCCCCUCCUCGAAAUUCUUGUCUUAGAUUUGUCUAGGUACGGAUGUACCUAAUACUAAAACAUGACUUGAUACAUCUGUAUUUAGACAAAUCUAAAACAAGAAUUUUGGGACGGAGGGAGUAGAAC
rfam:Triticum urartu cultivar G1812 contig1141797, whole genome shotgun sequence.